ACUCUUGCGCCUACCACUUCCACCCCUCAAUCAGUGACAACACAGAUGUUAACACCAUCAGGUGAUUUGAAACCAACACCCAAACCUCAUCAUCCUCCAACCACAACUCUGACCACCCAAGAAACGCCCGAAAUUUAUGAAACAACCAUAGAACAAGACAAAAGUGGUGUUGUAAUUAUUGGCUAAUAAAUGAACCUCUAAUUU
rnacentral:misc_RNA from 1 species